rnacentral:rRNA from 1 species
GAUGAACGCUGGCGGCGUGCUUAACACAUGCAAGUCGAACGGUGAAGCCAAGCUUGCUUGGUGGAUCAGUGGCGAACGGGUGAGUAACACGUGAGCAACCUGCCCUGGACUCUGGGAUAAGCGCUGGAAACGGCGUCUAAUACUGGAUAUGAGACGUGAUCGCAUGGUCGUGUUUGGAAAGAUUUUUCGGUCUGGGAUGGGCUCGCGGCCUAUCAGCUUGUUGGUGAGGUAAUGGCUCACCAAGGCGUCGACGGGUAGCCGGCCUGAGAGGGUAACCGGCCACACUGGGACUGAGACACGGCCCAGACUCCUACGGGAGGCAGCAGUGGGGAAUAUUGCACAAUGGGCGGAAGCCUGAUGCAGCAACGCCGCGUGAGGGAUGACGGCCUUCGGGUUGUAAACCUCUUUUAGCAGGGAAGAAGCGAAAGUGACGGUACCUGCAGAAAAAGCGCCGGCUAACUACGUGCCAGCAGCCGCCGUAA